rnacentral:lncRNA from 1 species
GCGUACUAUUUAGCAGCACCAAUAUGCACAUUCUAUCUCUUACCCUCCAAAGAAAAAAGACCUAUUACCCACCAAAGUGGCUGCAGAUCUCUCUCUAACUUAAUUUCCCUUUGCACCUUUUUUCCUUAUUUUCCAACUCCAUUUACUUACCUCUCAUUUCCCUUGCCAUUAAUCAGCUUCUCACCAGGUACAUCAUAUCCAAAGACAGCAAGUUCUAAGUCACAUCAUGCCUAGAUGUUUUUGGAAGGCAAGAGUUGCCAUUCCUAUCCAUGGGGUCACAUGUUGUAGUUAUAUCUAAUGCUAGAUGAAACUUUUAGAGAAAGAAACAUUGUUAAGAAGCUAGAAUGUUCAAACUUCAAAUACUAAAGAUAGACAAUUACUAAUUAUCCACGGUUCCCUGCCUCAUAUACAAGUUUUAAAUAUUACUUAAUGCAUUGAUUGAUUUCUACCACAUUGUUGAGUGCGGCAUUCAAGUCCCUACUCAUUCAUCGUCCACAUUUUGACUUUAUUGUUAUGAAGGAUGGAAAGGAGUAAGAAUGGAAAAUUUGUCAAUCUAGUGGUUAAGAUUCAUAGCCAAUUUCCUACUUUAUAGCUUAACACCAUUAGAUUAACAAGUUUUCAAUCCAUCCCUUUCCAUCAUUCCUACCAAGCAAAGCCAAAUUUGGGUUUUGCAAUUUGCAUAUUCUUAUCAAAGUUUAAAAACUUGGGGGAGUAAGGGUUUCAAAAGAUGUAAGUCAAUCUCUUAAAUAUUAUGACCCUCAAGUGUUUUAGUUAGGUUCGGCUUUCCCAAUUUUCAACUCAUUGAACAAAAACUUGCCCAAAAAAAAAAAAAAGUAUUCAUUGAACAAAGCACCAGUUUCAUUAAUUAUGUACUUAUGAAUUGUAUUUAUUUGACCAUAUAUUAAAGCUACAGAAACUCAAUAGAAACUCGAUACAUGCUAUCAUUGUACUAAUCCAUUCUAAAUGAUUUACUAUUAGUUGCUACCUGUUGGAAAUCACUUGAACUGAUGGUUGAACUUUAUUCAUGUUCAAUCAUACGAAACUUAGUUAAAUUGACUGUUUUCUUUAACAACAUGACAAAUUCCUAAAUGUUAAAACAUCAUUUUCCUGAAAUUAGGAGAAUAGCCAUUAUAAUCCCUAAUUAAAAGUCCUUAAAGUCCUUCCAAAACAUUGCAUUUAUAAUGUCAUUCAAUUUCAGUUGAACCACAUUUCACUCUUUGAAGAACUAGUAAUGAUCACGCAUGUAUAGAAGAUUUAUCAUGCUUUGACCGAUGCUCCUUUAACUGACUUUCUAAAAUUAUUUGCAGGAUUUGUAUAUCUGAGGGGAUCUGAUCAAAAAACACAAGCACCCCAGCCUCUUAUGGCCAGGCUACACUUUCCAGCGAGUAAGCUGUCCAAGACAAAAAGUGAAAACAAGAGAUAAACCAGCCAUGAUACAAAUAUGAUUGUUACCAAAAGGUACCAGGCAGCAUCUACGCAUAAAGGAAAAUUUGCAAACCAGCAUCUGUCCAUAAAGGAAACAAAAAUUUGCUCACACAGCAGAGAGGAAAAAUUUUUUACUAACACAUUAUUGUACACGGUUGUUCUUUGUCGGACAUGAGGUGCAUUCAUCCCAUGUUAGCAACGUAGGAAGAAAAUUUUUUUAGCGAAAUUUUAAAUGCCGUGUAAGUGGGAUGUAGUUUGUCAAUCAAUCAAAACUGUGAUGAUUAUUUCAAUUCAUGCUCAAAAGGAGAGCCAUUUGUGGGAAAACACUUAUUUACAGCUGGUUGUAAUCUUGUAAUCUGUAUAUUUAUAUUUGUAUCUCUAGAAUUAAGUAUUUGAAUCCCUAGAAUUAAGGAAGAUUUAGUUUCUUAGUUUAACCCCUAGUUAGUUGUAUAUAAACCUAAGAUUCUUGUAUAAUUCUGAUGAAGCAGUUUUCCAAUAUACAUUCAGUUUUCACACUGAUUUAUUUCUUAGUGUUUCCACAUGGUAUCAGAGCUUUAGGCUCUUCUUGGGAAGAAAAAUUUCCAGCCUUCAUUGCUGACUUUUUUAGGCCUUCAUUGCCGAAUCCUGUUUAGGCCUUCAUUGCCGAACCCUUUCAAAGAAAGAUAUCACUAUCACUCAAUUUGAGGAAAUGUUAACUGGGAAAAUCACUGGAAUACUACAGAUAUCUCAGAAACAAGGAGAGUUCAACAGGGAAGAGAUUGAAAAGCUGAGAAACUUAUUAAAAAUCCUUGAAAAGCCUACUAUGGUAUGUUCUUUGGGUAAAGUUUCUAAUUCAGGUAAAGCUUCCGGUUCUCAUGGAUUAAAUGUCUCGGCUAAGCCUAUUACGAAUUCUUGGGUCAUUGACUCAGGAGCCACAGACCACAUGACAUAUUCCCCACAAAAGUUUAGUACAUAUAACCUAUGUCCUAGUAAUAAGAAAAUUGUUGUUGCUGAUGGUUCACUUACCACAGUGGCAGGAUUAGGAGAUGUUCAAGUUAAUCCCUCGUUUGUUCUCAAAAAUGUUCUUCAUGUUCCUGGAUUGUCUACUAAUCUGAUAUCUAUACAAAAACUUACCAGAGAUAUGAAUUGCAAAGUAACUUUUUAUCCCUCUUAUUGUGAAUUUCAGGACCAGAGUUCGGGGAAGAUGAUUGGACUUGCUAAGGAGAAGGAUGGACUAUACUAUCUUGAGACAUCAAAUAACACAAGUAGUAUCAAAAAUAGUUUACCUUUGUCAUUUCUUUCUGAAAAAUCUUCCAAUAAAGACAAAAUCUGGCUUUAUCAUUUUCGUCUUGGACAUCCUUCUUUUGGAACCUUGAGAAACAUGUUUCCUUCUUUGUUCAAAGAAUUAAAUGUUGAAGAUUUUCAUUGUGAUAUUUGCGAAUUUGCAAAACAUAGACGUGUCUUUUCCAAUCAGUAACAAAAGAAGUUCUACUCCCUUUUACUUGAUUCAUAGUGACAUUUGGGGUCCCUCUACAAUUCCUAAUAUUUCUGGUGCGAGAUGGUUUUUUUCAUUUAUAGAUGAUUGUACUAGGGUCUCUUGGGUUUUUUUACUUAAAUCCAAAUCAGAUGUGAAUAGUGUGUUUUUAAGCUUCCAAAACAUGAUCCAAAAUCAAUUUGAAGUAAACAUCAAGAGAUUUAGGUCUGAUAAUGCAAGAGACUACUUUAACCAGAGUCUAUCCACCUAUUUCCAAAAGGAGGGGAUUAUCCAUGAGUCAUCUUGUGUUAAUACUCCACAGCAGAAUAGAGUGGCAGAGAGGAAAAACAGCCAUUUACUAGCCACAACCCGAGCCUUUCUUUUUCAAGCAAAUGUACCUAAAUCUUAUUGGGGGGAAGCUGUUCUCACUGCCACACACAUUAUAAAUAGGUUACCUUCAAGAGUUUUGGGAUUUAAAACUCCUAUGGAACUACUCUCACAAUUUUAUCCCAACCUCAAUACCACAAACAAUCUCACACCUAGGAUAUUUGAUUGUACAUCAUUUUUUCAUGUUCACAGUCACAACAGGGGAAAGUUGGAUCCAAGAGCGAUUAAGUGUAUUUUUGUGGGGUAUUCCUCAACUCAAAAAGGAUAUAAGGUUAUUCAUCCUUCUUACCAAAAAUUUUAUGUGUCUGCAGAUGUCACUUUUGAAGAAUAAACCAUUUUUUACUCAAUCUUAUCUUCAGGGGGAGACUUCAUUCAUGGACGAUAAGGAUAAAGACUUCUUUUUGCUUGAUUUGCCCCCUUUUUCAACAUUUACACCCAUUAAUUCUUCUGAGUCGAAACCUGUUUCUGCUGAGUCCAAGUCAAACACUGAAUUUGAGUCUGAACCCAUUCCAAAUACGAAAGAUGUGACAAAGGAUAAUAUUGUUCUUGAUUCUAUGAAGGAAUUACAGGUGUACUCAAGAAGGAAAGUUCCAGAUCCUGAACCAGUGCCAGUCCAAGAACUUGAUCCUAACUCUAGAAAUGAGGUAACUACAGUUUUUGACUCUUUUUCUCAAAAUGAGCAUGAAUCUCCUAGAACUAUAACUAGUGAUUAUGAUUUGCCUAUUGCCAUUAGGAAAGGAACCAGAGAAUGUACCAAGCAUCCACUAAACCCAAUAUCUAAUUUUGUGUCAUUUGAAAAAUUCUCACCAUCCCACAAAAAUUUUCUUGUGAGCCUAAACACUAUUUCUGUUCCAACUACAUUAUCCGAGGCAUUAUCCAGUGAGAAAUGCAGGCAAGCCAUGAAAAUAGAAAUGGAGGCCUUAGAGAAAAAUCAGACAUGGGAACUGGUAGAGUUGCCUAAAGGAAAAAAUCCAGUGGGGUGUAAAUGGGUUUUCACUGUAAAAUACAAGGCAGAUGGUACUGUUGAAAGGUAUAAAGCCAGGUUAGUGGCUAAGGGCUACACUCAAACCUAUGGAGUGGAUUACCAGGAAACCUUUGCUCCAGUUGCGAAGAUGAAUACAGUUAGGAUUUUGUUAUCAUUGGCUGCAAAUUACAAUUGGCAGCUUCAACAAUUUGAUGUAAAGAAUGCUUUUUUACAUGGUGAUUUGGAAGAAGAAAUAUAUAUGAAGGUUCCACCAGGAUUUGGAGGUCAUCUAGAAGCAAACAAAGUAUGCAGGCUAAAACAGGCUUUAUAUGGCCUUAAACAGUCUCCUAGAGCUUGGUUCGGGAGAUUUGCCAAAGUGAUGCUAGCAAUAAGAUAUAAACAGAGUCAAAGAGAUCACACAUUGUUUAUCAAGCACUCUGAUUCAGGGAGAGUCACAGUUCUAUUAGUGUAUGUUGAUGAUAUAAUUGUAACUGGAGAUGAUGAAAAAGAGAGAGAAUCUCUAAAACAGUGUUUGGCUAGAGAAUUUGAGAUAAAAGAGCUAGGGAGAUUGAAGUACUGCCUAGGAAUUGAAGUAGCUCACUCACGGCAUGGUAUUUUUAUCUCACAACAGAAAUAUGUGAUGGAUCUUCUGAAGGAAACUGGGAAGCUUGCAUGUAAACCUGCAAAUACCCCUAUAGAUCCUAAUCAUAAAAUUGGAGAAGCUAAUGAAGAUACUGCUGUAAAUAGAGAGAUGUACCAAAGAUUAGUUGGAAGACUCAUUUAUCUCUCACAUACUAGAGCUGAUAUAGCAUAUGCUGUGAGUGUGGUAAGUCAAUUUAUGCAUAGUCCUAAAGAAGUGCACCUACAGGCUGUCUACCGUAUAUUGCACUAUUUGAAGGUCAAUCCUGGGAGAGGUAUCUUAUUCAAAAGAAAUUCGGGGUUAGUUCUAGAAACAUAUACAGAUGCUAAUUAUGCAGGUUCAGUAACUGAUAGAAGAUCCACCUCAGGCUACUGCACUUUCUUAGGUGGUAAUCUUGUGACUUGGAAGAGUAAAAAACAGAAUGUGGUGGCAAGAUCAAGUGCUGAAGCAGAGUUCAGAGCAAUGGCUCAAGGAAUUUGUGAACUACUAUGGUUAAAGAUUAUCCUAGAAGACUUGAAGAUCAAGUGGGAUGGACCAAUUAGACUCUACUGUGAUAACAAGUCUGCGAUAAGCAUUGCACACAAUCCUGUGCAACAUGACAGAACAAAACACAUUGAAGUAGACCGGCAUUUCAUAAAAGAGAAACUAGACAGUGGGUUGAUUUGUACACCUUAUGUAUCAACCAAGGGUCAACUUGCAGAUGUGUUGACUAAAGGUCUCAGCAAUGCUACAUUUCAAGAAAUUAUUUUCAAGCUGGGAAUGGAAAACACCUAUUCACCAGCUUGAGGGGGAGUGUGGGAAAACACUUAUUUACAGCUGGUUGUAAUCUUGUAAUCUGUAUAUUUAUAUUUGUAUCUCUAGAAUUAAGUAUUUGAAUCCCUAGAAUUAAGGAAGAUUUAGUUUCUUAGUUUAACCCCUAGUUAGUUGUAUAUAAACCUAAGAUUCUUGUAUAAUUCUGAUGAAGCAGUUUUCCAAUAUACAUUCAGUUUUCACACUAAUUUAUUUCUUAGUGUUUCCACACCAUUCUUCAAUAAAUAGACAGCAACAAUUUCCCCUUCUCAUGCUUCAAUGUGUAAUAUACAUGAGUAUUCCAUAUACGCACACAUUUGCAGAUACAUCUAAGUAGUUAACCCAAAAGUAUAUCCAAACUGUUGGAAAUUAGGUUCUCAUAAUCUACAAACAUAUCCAACAAGGGUUCCUCAUUACACAUCCAAUAUGGGACUCAAGCCAGGCAAUGAUUAUUGAAAAGGAUCAGAGUGAAAAAGGAUUCCUGGGGGAACACUGGUUAGUCCUAUUAAAUGUUCAGAAGUUACAAGUGUCAAAGAUAUAUAAUACAAAAACAAAGAAUGUUGGACCAGUAUGACAACAAUUGUGAACAUCUAUUAGCUGAUAUUGUUAUAGAGAUUCAGAUGAGAUAUGAAUCCACUAAGAAAUCACAUAUCUGGUUUUAGAAACCUAGAUAUGCAUGCUAAGGAAGUCAUGAAUUACGUAUUUGCAGCACCAUAUACAAGCAAAUUGGAGCACAGAUUCAUAGGAAUCCAAAGGCCAUAUAAAAGUCCAGGACAAUGAUUGGAAGAAUCAACAUCAUACCAUAUUUAAAAUAUAUGCCUCAAAUAAAAGGAACCAAGAAGAUGAAACAUUACAGUGACAGAGGUAGGCACUAAGAUAUGUUGACCUUUUAAGAAUUUACUAAAGACAAAAAAGGGCUUAGAUCAUAAGCAUGUGCUAUGAUCUCAUAAGAUCAUUUUGAGAAUUUUAGAUUUUCUUAAAUUGCAGAGAACAUAUGUACACUCAAGUUCUGAAAGGCUUAAGCAACUUGUUCAGCAGAAGUUUGAAAAGGACAAUUAAGAAAUAAACAUGCAUUACUGGAAGAUAUUAGUAAGCUCAUAGAAACUUACCAUAUGCAACAUCCAGAGAAAAGACACUGCUUCUAACAUCUAAAUUCCACUUUUGCCACUUAUAUGUCUGGACAUUGUACCCAGGCAGCAAAGCUUAGAGGGCCUGAUUUCCGCAUCAAGCUGUAACCUGACUCCAUGAAUUACCAAUAAGUUUAAUAGAUCAUCAAUCAUUAAAAUUUUUUCUGUGUUUGUAAUGCAUACUCUCAAUGUGAGGAGCUCAAAAGCUUGUUAAUAAUAAAGAAAAAAAAAUGUGUGCGAUUCUUAGAACCAUUAUUGCAAAACCUAUGACUUAGCAAAAGCAAUGACCUGGCAAACAAUAAGAAAGGCGUUGGGCUGAAACUUAGUCAUAUAUAAUAAACAAAUACUGCACAAGAAAUAUUUGGUUUAAUAAUCAAUUAACAAGCUCACAGAUGUAACUAAUUACUUUGACUGGUGCUCCAAUCGAAGUCCCUCAACACAAUGACAAGAGAACAGAGAACAAGAAAUUACUUGAAAAAGAAAGGAAACAAGUUCUUGUAACUCAAUAAAUACAGCCUUUGAAGAACAUAUUCCAGCAAGCUUGUAAACAUACCUAAUACAAAACAUGAUUGUUAUUCAACAUGAUGCAGAUUUAGUUUGAAUAUAAGCACAACUCUAAAGCUCUAAAGCAUAACAGUCACGAGAAUUGGACGUACACCCUGCCCUGAUCUUCAUUUGCCCAACUAUGGUGCCCUUGAGCCCCUUUACAUAUUUGUUCACACCUCUAUUAUUUUAACAACUUACUGAAUUCCAACAUCUCAUUAUUCAUCUUAGGUUCAUUUCAGAGGAUGUAGAGAUAUUUCUCAACAGACCAAUUAUUUACUAGACCAUCUCUACUGAAAAGUGUUUGACCCUUCAAAUGGUAAAAUACCUUAUGCUUAUAAUUAUAAUAAAUGUCAUAUACUUGUUAGCCGAAGGCAUAAAAGGCUUGCUUACCACCUAAUUUCCUAAGAGCAUCAAAAUUCUCAAUAUUGUAAUAGUAAUACCUAAUAUCAGCCUUAUUCAUAAGGAUAAAAUUCUGUCAUAUGUGAAUAAUAGGGGAAUGACUGUGCGGCAAAGAUAACGAACCAGCAUAUUCAGAUGACCACUGAAAUUAAAUCUGUAAAUGGAUGAUAAAAAAAUCUAAUCUAAUUAGACAAACCUAGUCCACAUCUCUCAAAUGCCUGCUAUUUUAUUAUUGUAUCCAAAAGACAGCAAACCAAUUUCGCCAACAUGUAAUCGCCCUGUUGCCUCACCAGCCAAAAUGACAACUAAAAUGAUUACCACAUAGGAUAUUGACCGUUCCAACGAUUCAUAUGUAUAUUAUGUGCUUUAGAGAAUUAAAGUUGUUUGAAGGGUUGAAAGAAUCUCCUUUUCUAGCCUUCCUUCCACAAUUGACAUACAGCAAGAUGAAAAUUUUCAACAUGAUACUCAAGAUUCACCAAAAAGAAUAGGCAAAAACCUUGUUGAGAAGAGUCAAGAACAUUUUUUAUGCAGCACAUUAGCUGCUGCAUGCAAAAAAUAACUUCGUUAUCAAUGUUUACUUGGAAGCAAAAAGACAGGUGCCUUUUGCAAACAAUUUUCCAAUUAAUUGCACACACUCUUCCAAUUAAGUUAUCUGCAAAAGGGGAGAGAAGUUAAAUUAAAAAAGAAAAAAAGACUUAGCAACUAUAAUUUAGCUUGCCUUCAACUACCACAUUUUGGUACGCCACUCUUCAAAGCUAAAACAUAUAAGUCAUAUUUUGCACUAAAUGUGUCACUUAAUUUAGUACAAUGGUGACAGUCAGAAUCACACUUAGACCCUCCCAAGCCCACACCAAGUCCACAUAGAUGCAUGCAACCACUCAUUCAUCACAUUUGAUCAUUUGACAAUACCUAAAUGGAAUUUGAAAGUCAAUAAUGCAGUAUUUAAACAACAAAUAGCCCCAAUUGAGACUGUUAUCAAGCUUGGCCCAGCAUUGGCAUUCAAACUAAGAUGCUGUGGCAAUUCUUAGCAUUGCGGAAGCAAACCAUAUGUCAAUUUAUAAUAAUUCCAAACUUAUUCAGGGGCUUGCCAGUCUACUAUCUUUCACUUUUAAUGAUUUUCUAAGGAACUCCAACCAAUUGAACCGAACGAGUCCAAAUAUUGAAUGAUACUGAUUUAACAGGGAAUCCAUCAAGGCUGUGAACAUUUAAAUUUAAUGAACUAUGAAGUGCAUGUUAAAUAAAAAAAUUUGGAAGAUUUAAAGGCCCAAGUGAUCUCUCAAACAAGCAUAAAUAUGUACCAUAAAAUUCAAAUUACAAAACCAUUACGGUGAAAUAUGAAUGUAAAAUGUUUGAGAACAAUUUCGCCUUACUACCAUGAGCUUUAAAUGCCAUAAUAACAUUGUCUCCAAUUAGCUUUUCUAUAUUGAAAAUUGAAAUGAUUACCAAUACACAACCAAAACCAGAUCUAUAGAAGCUUAAGUAAGCAUGCAUGAAGAGAUAAAACACACACAUGAAAACAACAAACUGAAGAAACAUGUGCACACAUGAUGAAGGGAUAAAUAGCUUUGCAUGUGUACAAGGAAAUGAGUAACAUACUUCUAAAAGUUCUAGCCUUUAAUUAAGACUUCUAUAUCUUCCCAGUUUUAAUUCUCAACACAGCAAUUCAACAGAGCAUGCACACUUUCCUUUCAAAUUUCUUCCAUUUUCUCAACAACCAAGCAAGGAUUAAACAAAUUAAUAAAAAAAACUAAUCACUAAUCCAAAAACCUCGAACAUUUACCAAAAAAGAAACUUAAAAUCAAAAAUUAAAAUUAAAGAAUGCCUUUAUUGUUAUAUCAUAACAGCUAUCAUAAGGGGAAGAAGAAAAUUAGGGAGAAUUGAGAGAUGGGUAGAUUCUGGAUAUUACCACAAAUCCGGAGAAUGUUUUUGUUUUGCGAGUAUUUUUAUGUUAACCCUAAAAACACCGAAUACAUCCCCAAAAAGUUAUUAUAAAAUUA